GAUGAACGCUAGCGGCAGGCUUAAUACAUGCAAGUCGAGGGGCAGCAGGGGUAGCAAUACCUGCUGGCGACCGGCAAACGGGUGCGGAACACGUACAGAACCUUCCUUUAAGCGGGGGAUAGCCCAUAGAAAUGUGGAUUAAUACCCCAUAGUAUUUUGGAGUGGCAUCACUUUAAAAUUAAAGAUUUAUCACUUAAAGAUGGCUGUGCGUCUGAUUAGCUAGUUGGGAGGUAACGGCUCACCAAGGCGACGAUCAGUAGGGGAUCUGAGAGGAUUAACCCCCACACGGAUACUGAGACACGGAUCCGACUCCUACGGGAGCAGCAGUAAGGAAUGUUGGACAAUGCCCGCAAGGGUGAUCCAGCCAUGCCGCGUGCAGGAAGACGGCCCUAGUGGGUUGUAAACUGUCUUUUACACCGGACGAAAACCCCACUACGUGUAGUGGGCUGAUAGUA
rnacentral:rRNA from 1 species